AUUGAACGCUGGCGGCAGGCCUAACACAUGCAAGUCGAGCGAGCGGCGGACGGGUGAGUAAUGUCUGGGAAACUGCCUGAUGGAGGGGGAUAACUACUGGAAACGGUAGCUAAUACCGCAUACCAUCAGAUGUGCCCAGAUGGGAUUAGCUAGUAGGUGGGGUAACGGCUCACCUAGGCGACGAUCCCUAGCUGUUCUGCGAGUCUGACCAGCCAACCUGGAACUGAGACCGGGUCCAGACUCCUAUGGGAGGCAGCCGAGGGGAACUUUGCCCAAUGGGCGCAGGCCUGAUGCGGCCAUGCCGCGUGUGUGAAGAGGGCCUUCGGGUUUAAAGGCACGUUCAGCGGGGAGGCGUUACCCGCAGAAGAAGGACCGGCUAACUCCGUGCCAGCAGCCGCGGUAAUAC
rnacentral:rRNA from 1 species